rnacentral:lncRNA from 1 species
AGCCCCGCCCCCAAAUCCCGUGGGCCUCUGCGGCAUGGUAUUUAAUCGUCUCCCCGGGGAGAUUCGUUCUCAUUUUUCUACUGCUCGUGGAUUUACGCGCACGUUGGAACCGAAGAGAGCUCUGUUGUUGCAAUGUUCAGCCCACAAGAGCUUACUGGUGAAGGAAUGGGACAAGACCCAUCUUUAUGCAAAGCCAGCGUUACAGUAAUGUUCCAGCAUCUCAUAAUCUAUCCUGGGGAAUUCAGCUGCCUCCCAGGGUGAAUACAGGUAUUCCUGAUGACAGUCUGCCUCUAUCUUACAGAGCAGCUUGUUGCUAUAUACCAUUGAAAAGCCUUCAGAGCUGAGAGGUACUACUAACCAAUAACCUGCUUGGCUCAAAGGUGAGUAAUUUCACGGUAUUCAAUGCACUCAGUAUAUAGGGUAGGAAAAAGUGCCUUUUUAGGCCUGUGUUUGUGAUGACUUACAUGGAAUCUCGUUCGGCUGAUGACUUGCUGUUGAGACUCUGAAAUCUGAUUUUCUGAGAAUGAUGGGUGGGAACAACAUAAUGCGGGAUAUGAGAAGCACUACUGACUUGGUCUUCCUCCUUUCAGGGCCAGCACCUUCUCUCUAAAGCCCAAGAGGAGUUUGAGGAAAACUAGGUGUCUGUGUUCACUCCAGGCUGAAGUUACAGGUCUGAGCAAAUAAGGUGUAUAAAAAAUGGAAUCUGUCUUGGAGGACAUCAGAAGGUGAAUUUUCCAAGUUCUUGGACAACCUAGCUGUUGAAAAGCUUUCUGGGUUUGGGGGGUAUUUCAGAUGUACCUUAAAGUGUUAGCAGACACAGAUUAAGACACUGGGAGCCAAUGAAACAGCAGUUGAGGGUUUGCUGUGUAUCACAUUUCUGUAUUUUAUCACCCCCUUCCUGCAACAUUAUUUAUCUGGAAUCUACCUGCCCUUUUGUUUUUUAGAUACAAGGGCUUGGUUUUGUUACCCAGGCUGGUUUCAAGGCCAUAGCUUUAAGAGAUCCUCUCACCACAGAUUUCCAAAGUGCUGGGAUUGCAGGUGUGAUUCAUGGCACCCAGACUUUGCUGCCUUUCUUACAUGAUCCAGGCCCAGAACCCAAACUCAGGCACUGUAUAGAUGACCACUUUCGUAAACUACUGACCUAGCUUGUUGCCAAUUGUUGAUUGAACUUCCCAUAACUCCACUUCGUGUCUGUUCCUCUGUAUACAGCCACCUUCUGUUCCCGUCAUGAGCCUUUAGGUCUCCAUUUGCAUAUUGCAAAUACUAUGUUCCAUGUAGGUAGCUCAUUCAGGGCCUUGCUCUUCACUUCAAAAAAGGUUC